rfam:Cavia porcellus supercont2_60 genomic scaffold, whole genome shotgun sequence.
ACCAUGUGUGGUGGCGCACAUCUGUAGUCCCAACUACUCGAGAGGCUGAGGUGGGAGGAUCGCUUGAGUCCAGGAGUUCUGAGCUGCAGUCGCUAGUGUCCGCACUAAGUUCGGCAUCAAUAUGGUGACCUCCUGGGAGUGGGGGACCACCAGGUUGCUUAAGGAGGGGUGAACAGGCCCAGGUCGGAAACGGAGCAUGUCAAAACUCCCAUGCUGAUCAAACUCUGGCUCUCCCUUCUGAUUCAGGUUGGUGAGCAGAUAAACCUCCUGGUCCUU